GCUGGGUGGCUCAGUUAGUAGGGCAGAGGCUAUAGUCCUCGAUGUGGUUGUCCUGGGUUCAAAUCCCAGUUUUGGGCCA